GAGAGCCGUGUGCGGGAAAACCGUACGCACGGUUCGGAGGGAGGGGCGGGCAAAACCCGUCCCUACCCCUAU
rnacentral:ncRNA from 1 species